rnacentral:tRNA from 2 species
UUCGUUCUGGGACGGGCCCGCGCCUCCUCGGACGAGGCGCGGCGCGCGUUGCUGCACGCGCAGGACAGGGC